GACGAACGCUGGCGGCGUGCUUAACACAUGCAAGUCGAACGGGAAGUCCCUUCUUUUGUGGGGUGCUCGAGUGGCGAACUGGUGAGUAACACGUGAGUAACCUGCCCUUGACUUUGGGAUAACUUCAGGAAACUGGGGCUAAUACCGGAUAGGAGCUCCUGCUUCAUGGUGGGGGUUGGAAAGGUUCGGCGGUUGGGGAUGGACUCGCGGCUUAUGAGCUUGUUGGUGGGGUAGUGGCUUACCAAGGCUUUGACGGGUAGCCGGCCUGAGAGGGUGACCGGCAACACUGGAAUUGAGAUGCGGCCCAGACUACUACGGGAGGCAGCGGUGGGGUAUAUUGCACAAUGGGAUGAAGCCUGAUGCAGCAACGCCGCGUGCGGGAUAACGGCCUUCGGGUUGUAAACCGCUUUCGCCUGUGACGAAGCGUGAGUGACGGUAAUGGGUAAAGAAGCACCGGCUAACUACGUG
rnacentral:rRNA from 1 species